GACUUCACUAGUUCGCACCAACAGGCCAGUUGGCAGAAUGCUAAUGCAGUCUGCUCGGGGUGGAAGACAUUUUUUCCUUCCCUGCACCCCCUAAUAGUAAUGCUUAAUUUUAUUUUGACUCUGGAAGAAGUCUCCUUUCUGAGGUUCAAUUCAGCUCCAACCUAAUGCAAAUAUCUCAAGAUGCCUUUAAAAGGCUUCAACUAAAAGAGGUCACCUAAAGCCACGACAAGCAACCAGACUCUAUAUAAUCUCUUAUGUGAAAUUUCAAGGACAUCAAAUCUGCAAGGUAAGCUGACCUUCUAUAUAACACAUUGGCAUUCCAACUGAGGGCCAGAUACCUUCCUCAAGAAUAUUAGUGAUAACUGAUAACCACUCAGAAUCUUUUUUUUUUAAGAGAGAGAGAAUUUUUUAAUAUUUAUUUUUUAAUUUUCGGCGGGCACAACAUCUUUGUAUGUGGUGCUGAGGAUCGAACCCGGGCUGCACGCAUGCCAGGUGAGCGCGCUACCGCUUGAGCCACAUCCCCAGCCCACCACUCAGAAUCUUAAGGUCUUAUUUCUCAUGUUUACUGUUACUACCAGUACAGAGGUCAACAUAUAAAGUAUCAAAGUAAAAUUUAAUUACCACUACUAAUCAACGUAAGAUGACAGAGGGCCUUUUAAAAGGCAAUGUGCUUGCCAUCACAGCAAGCUUUAAUGAUUAAUGCUCAGAUGGAUUUUGAAAUUAAAAAAAAAAAUAGAAGGCCCUAUUCAUGCAAUUAAAAAAUAUGGUCUUCCGUAUUAGAUUACCAAAUUAUAUUUUAGUAUUUGUAAUUUUCCUUAGAAUUUUUCACUUCCUCUUGUAAUUACCACAUACUAGUAAGAGAAUAUUCUACGAGAAAAGUACGGCCUUCUGAUGUUCCAGUAUCAUAACUCAGUGCUAUGUCCACGCUGCACUUUGAUUCCAAAAGAGAGCAUUUAGAUUAACUGCUUCAGUGCCCUAUGGACACAAGAUUUAUGCCCAGAGAAAAAGCUCCCAUAUGACUCAACAGACACAGAGCUAAUGAAAUAAUCUGGUUCACUGGUUUAAGAUGGUUCCUCUAAAAGGGGUACAAUCACUGUUCCCAAAAGAGAGAAAAAUCACUAACAUUCUAUUCCUAGCACCCCUCAGUUGCUCUGUCAGUUACAAACAGCAUCUAAGAAGCACUGACAUCUUGCAACCACAAUGGAAAACCUUCUUUCUCCACCUAGUCCCACCCAAAAUGUCACAGAGAAUUUUUCAGAGAACACAUGGGCACAUAUGACAGUGAUUUUUUAAAAAGUUUUAUUAUACAAUGAUUUGCUUAUUCUGUAAGCCUUUGUUGAAUAUCUUACAUGUGGCAGAUGUAGGGGUAUAUACUACCCACAGAGAUGAAGGUGACACCACCAAUACAGCCUUUAAGAAUUUCACUCUAUUUUUAGGUAUUAGACAACUACAUGCCCUUAAAAAAAAAUGAGACAUGGACUGCUACCACUUUUCUGUAUUCAUCCAAUCAUUUUUAAAAAUUCAGUUUAGAUGACAUAUCCAUGGAAUUGUUAGAUUCCUUAAACUGUAAUAAAUAGGAGCAUUUAGGGAGCAGUUUAGAGAAAUGUUCAUGAAAUUAAGUCAUGUGUCUUCCUGCUACAGAAGCUAAUAAAGAUACAUGGAAAGUUUGAAUGCUGAAAGGUCAAUUAUAAAUGCUAAUACAGAUAAAAUAAUUCAAACACUGAUGGAACAAAUUGAGUAUUUUGUGAUGGUAACUGUACUAACCAUAAAAUUUUAGAACCAUAAAAGAUCUUAGUUACAUCUAAAAAUCUCACGUGACUAGUGAUGCCUAGAAAGGUUGUAUGAUUUGUGCAAAGUCACACAAGUGUAAAUUACCACUUUGGAACCCACACUAAGUUUAUUUUAUCCUGUUUGCCCACUGUCCUACUGAGUCUGGUUCACAUAUACAUGUACACACAUUACUGCAUCUGAUUCACACACGCACACAAGCAUUGUAUUUUUCAUCUGAUUCACACACACCAUAUUACUGUGUCUGAUUCAUAUACAGGCAUAUGCAUGUAUAUACUGUGGUUCAUACACACAACUUACAUGUAUGUAUCCUAUUGCUGUCUGACAUCCACAAAUAUACACUUUAUACUACUUUAAUUUUAUGCACAUUCAUAUUGGCAUAUAUACACACACCUCAAAAGUUAAUCUCUUUUUUCAAGUGAGAAAUUCAAAUGUGAACCACCACCCAGUAACUAUUUCAAAAUUAUAAUUUAUAUUAUGGGGCAAUUUAUCUGGACCCUCAUUUAAGAUCUAAGUCUUCCCAGGGACUGGAAAGGAGUAAGAUCCAUGAGGAUGCAGAAAUUUAGAGAGCUCACAGGCAUUCAUUCACAUGAAGUCUUUUGUUUUAUUGUCAAGGAUAAGAACAUCAGUGACAUUUGUGUUGUGAUGUUUUCCAUACCAUGGAGUAGGAGAAAAGACUUGCACAGAAACUGAGAAUAAUAUUCUAUGCCCUUGCUCUAGGACAAAUUUCCAGUCUCUGACCCCAUAACACAGUGCAGGAGUGAUGUGGGGGAAGUGCAUCCACAACAUGGCUGGGGACUCUGGCUAGAGAGUGUGACCUGAAGGGAUAGUCUUCCUUCUGCUCAAGGGCUGACAAUAUGGAGAGCUCUGAAAGAUCUCUCUUGAUGUAGGAUUCUUAGAGGAGUUAAAGGAGCAAUGAUGAUGCCCUCUGGGGUUUGGAUGAGGAGGGAUAAAGCAAAUGGGAGGCAGAAGCAAUAAUCAGCUGAUGCAGAGGACUUACCUAAGAGGUCCCUGGGAACCCAAACUUAAAAGGAGUAGGGGAGACUCGACAGGGGUUAGAGGUCCUGCAGGUACAGGUAGUGCAUAAACACAGAACAUGUCACUGUGGGUGUUUAGUAAGGCCUGGAGACCUGCAGGCAAUACUGAAUAUGAAGAAGGAAUGCAGAACCCAAAGACUAGUUUCAGAUUGUACUGUUAUUCUCGCAGUCACUGAAGCAGAUGGUGAAUAUUUUGAACAUUUGCUUUCUUAAGCUACUUGCUCUAUUAGUCUAGCCUACUUUUCUUCAGGCAUAAAUAAUUCCCCUUUACUAUCAAAUACAGCCAUUACUAAUUCGUACAUACAUUAUAUUGAAAGAUCCUCUAUCAUCAAACUAUGAAGCUUACUUUUAUGAUCUUUCCAGAUAUAAUUCUCAUAGUAAUAAUGAAGAAAACACCAAGAAUAACACUCAGGAUGUGAUAUGUUAAGCACACACCUCUCUGUGGGCUUUACUUAUUUUAAAAAUCACAGACAGCUAUCCUUACUGGACAAAGUCCUCCCUAAGUGGAUGGCUAUCAUUCUGGCCUUGGAAGACAGCUAUAAAGGUUACUAGUCAACUUUUUAAAAAUGAAGCAUUAUUUCUCAAAAGGAAAUGUACAGUUUUAAGCAAAUAAACCGUAGGUACUUUGAAGACCAUUUUAAAUACCUCAACCACAGCCCAAGAUAAAUGUCUGCAAAGGAUCAAAAAGAUCAGGGCCCUGGGCAAGGUUUAAGAGGCAGGGUAGUUGGGGAGAUAAAUAGCAAACUGCUUUCCAAAAACUGGAAUGAGAGCUCUCCUACCAAGGAAUAUAAGGAAACCUUCAAAGUUUAGCAGGUCAAGUACAAACUAAUAAUCAAAGCUGGCAAGAAAGAAUCUAAGUAACCUUGCAGAGCACUCCAAAAACAAUUAAAAAAAUGUUACUAAACAAGAUAAAAUCUCUAAAAAUAAGCAUUGUCUGCAAAGAAUGUAAGAUGAAAAAGAUUGUGUAUAAAACUGAACAACAGUUCCCUUGGUCUUUAUGAAGGAUCAAGAAUACGGCAAAUACCAAUUUUUUUUUUUUUUGUAACAGGUUGGAGAAACUAAAUUAAAUGGUGAUUAACUUAAGGGAGAAUCAACUGAACUGUCAAACAAGAUAUACAAAAGCACAAAUCCAACUGGCAUUAUCAGGGUUAAAAAGUCAAGGUGGAAUCUUUAACUGUGGAGGCAAAAAUGUAAAAUGUGAAUUAUGACCAGCCACUCUACAGCAGGGCAGAUGCUGACAGGGGACCUAACUACAGAAUGUUCAAACCCAGCACUUUCUGAGUAUUGAGGGAAGGGAAAUAUAAUCAGGAAUUAAUAAAAAGAUGUGGCUGAACACUUUUCUACCUGAUGACCAUCAACAAACUGUGGGGUCAAAUAAUGGUACAGCAGCAGUAGUUACCCCUGAUCAAAGUUUUACAUUUUUAGUACCCAAACAAUCAGCUCAAAAGGUAGAGCUUAAUGCAGUUUUACAAGCUUUUGUGAUGUUUAAAGAUUCUGUAUUUAAUUUAUUUUCUGAUAGUCAGUAUGUAGUUAAUGCUAUAGUAUCUCUUGAAGAUGCUGGUAGGAUUUCCCCUUCUUCUACUGUUUUCUCUUUGCUUUCCCAGAUUAGACUUUGUAUAGUGGAAAGCAAAGAGAAAACAGUAGAAGAAGGGGAAAUCCUACCAGCAUCUUCAAGAGAUACUAUAGCAUUAACUACAUACUGACUAUCAGAAAAUAAAUUAAAUACAGAAUCUUUAAACAUCACAAAAGCUUGUAAAACUGCAUUAAGCUCUACCUUUUGAGCUGAUUGUUUGGGUACUAAAAAUGUAAAAGUUUGAUCAGGGGUAACUACUGCUGCUGUACCAUUAUUUGACCCAUCAGUGAAUAUAUUUGGAGCAUUCAUGAUAGGUGUUUUUCUUGUCAUUUUUGGAAAAAUUACAGGAUGCAAUGACCAAAAAGACAAUAAAGGAUUAGAUGGUAAGUGGUUAUCAAAUGAAACAUUAGAUUUGCACAUGAUUAUUGCCCAAGUAUUUAACUCAUUAGCUAACUCAUCAAUUUGAUUCAUAGUAUAUGGAGUAAUAAUUUUAUUGGGAGAAAUUCCAAACACUCCCUUUGCUGCUUUUAUUCCUUUGAGUAUUAAUUGUCCUACAGCCUCAGGAUACCUAGUAAGAAUAGUGUUAGGAGAAUAAGAUAAAUGUAUCCAUAAUAAUGGACCUUCUUGCCAAAAUACUCCUGUAGGAAUAUUUUUUGUUGGUAGUACAAUAAAUAAUAAAGGCAAACUUAUAUCAAUUCUAUCCAAAUGCAUAUUUUCCAUAUAUGUUUCAAUGAUUUUUAAUGCCUUUCUUGCUUCAGGCGUUAACAUUCGGGGUGAAUUUGGAUCUGAUGGACCUUUUAGGAUAUCAAAUAAAGGUCCCAACUCUCCUGUUGGUAUACCUAAAUAAGGCCUUAUCCAAUUUAUGUCUCCUAAUAACUUUUGAAAGUCAUUAAGUGAUUUGAGUUGAUCUACUCGUAUUUGAAUUUUUGGUGGACGGACCAUGGUUGAGGAUAAUAGAACUCCUAAAUAAUUAAUUGGAAAAUUUAAUUGUACUUUAUCUAUUGCUAUCUCUAGAUUAUAAUUUUUUAAUAAGUUUGUAAGUGUGGCAUAACAUUCUAGCAAUGUGUUUUUAUCUUUGUGUGCUAAUAAUACAUCAUCCAUAUAGUGAAAUAUUUGUAGUUCAGGAUUUUGAUUUCUAAGUGGCUGGAUUACUUUGUUAACAUAAAUUUGACACAUAGUUGGGCUGUUAGCCAUCCCUUGAGGGAGUACUUUCCAUUCAUAUCUCUGAUCAGGACCUUCAUGAUUCAGUGCAGGGAUAGUAAAUGCAAAACGUGGACUAUCCUCAGGAUGAAUUGGAAUUGAAAAAAAACAAUCUUUAAUAUCUAUAACUAAAACAUACCAGGUUUUUGGCAAAGCAGACAACUGAGGAAUCCCUGAUUGAGCAGGUCCCAUAAUAACCAUCUCAUUAUUAAUGGCUCUUAAAUCUUGCAAUAAUCUCCAUUUACCAGAUUUCUUUUUGAUGACAAAAAUGGGAGUAUUAUGGGGAGAUACAGAAGGUUGUAUAUGUCCUUCUGCUAAUUGUUGUUUGACCAGGUCAUGGGCUGCUUGUAUCUUUUCUUUAGUCAGGGGCCACUGAGGAACCCAUACUGGUCUUUCUGAUUUCCAAGUAAUUUUUAUUGUCUCAGUGGCCCUUUCUGAAAAUCCAACCCAUGUCUGUCUGUUCCUUGAUCUAUUUGUAUUGGUGCUGCUAUACCUUGUUCUUGUUUUUCUAAUCUUUUUCCUUUCCUAAAACCUUGUCUAGUCAUAAUAGUGGGUGCAUUUUGGUUGAUGUUAUUUGUUAAUGUCAAACCUAAUUGAUCUAGGACAUCUCGUCCCCAUAAAUUUACGGGAAGAUGAUCCAAUACAUAUGGCUGUAUAGUUCCUUCACAUCCUUCAGGAUCCUUCCAAUCUAAUACCAUUGCACUUCUAUGGGGAUUAGUCGCCACUCCUAGGCCUCGAAGCGUUUGAGUGGCUUGUUGUAAUGGCCAAUGUUUUGGCCAUUCUUGACGAGAGAUGAUGCUAAGGUCUGCACCUGUAUCCAGUAGCCCAUUAAAUUCAUGUCCUUGAAUAUUUAGUUUUAGCAUGGGGCGAGAAUCUAAAUUUAAAGAAAGCAUAGCCCAAUCUACACCUGUGGAGCCUAAUCCCUUGGAACCUCUUUCUACAGUACGACUGGAAAAUUUAUCAUGUAGGCUGGGUAUUAUUAGUAACUGUGCUAUUCUAUCUCCUGGUGAAAUUACUGAUAUACCCUUUGGAGAACUGGCUAUAAUUUUUAUUUCACCUUCAUAAUCGGGAUCAAUUACCCCAGGACUUAUCAUAAGUCCUUUUAGAGUAGAAGAGCUGCGUCCCAAUAAUAAGCCUACUGUUCCUUUGGGAAGAGGUCCUUUCACCCCUGUGGGAAUGAUUUGAACUCCCAUCUCUGGAGUUAGUACUGCUCUGGCGGAGGCGCAGAUGUCCAACCCUGCGCUCCCUCUGGUUUGUCUGAUGAGGGAUCUGAUGGACAAUGUGUCCUGGGCACUACCCUGAUGGGGUUGCUGGGUUCCUCCAGUGCUCCGUAUAUUUGUGGUUUUGGGCCCCGGAGCAUUGGGCCCCCCUGUCCAUUUUUUGGCAAUGGAGCCCGAUGCCUUUCUCCACG
rnacentral:lncRNA from 1 species